rnacentral:rRNA from 1 species
CCUACGGGUGGCUGCAGUGGGGAAUAUUGGACAAUGGGGGCAACCCUGAUCCAGCCAUGCCGCGUGUGUGAAGAAGGCCCUCGGGUUGUAAAGCACUUUCAGUGAGGAAGAACGCCUGGUGGUUAAUACCCAUCAGGAAAGACAUCACUCACAGAAGAAGCACCGGCUAACUCCGUGCCAGCAGCCGCGGUAAUACGGAGGGUGCGAGCGUUAAUCGGAAUUACUGGGCGUAAAGCGCGCGUAGGUGGCCUGAUAAGCCGGUUGUGAAAGCCCCGGGCUCAACCUGGGAACGGCAUCCGGAACUGUCAAGCUAGAGUGCAGGAGAGGAAGGUAGAAUUCCCGGUGUAGCGGUGAAAUGCGUAGAGAUCGGGAGGAAUACCAGUGGCGAAGGCGGCCUUCUGGACUGACACUGACAGUGAGGUGCGAAAGCGUGGGUAGCAAACAGGAUUAGAUACCCUGGUAGUC